ACAAGCGGCGGAGCAUGCGGAUUAAUUCGAUGCAACGCGAAGAACCUUACCUACCCUUGACAUGUCCGGAACUUGCCAGAGAUGGCUUGGUGCCCGAAAGGGAACCGGAACACAGGUGCUGCAUGGCUGUCGUCAGCUCGUGUCGUGAGAUGUUGGGUUAAGUCCCGCAACGAGCGCAACCCUUGUCCUUAGUUGCUACGCAAGAGCACUCUAAGGAGACUGCCGGUGACAAACCGGAGGAAGGUGGGGAUGACGUCAAGUCCUCAUGGCCCUUAUGGGUAGGGCUUCACACGUCAUACAAUGGUCGGUACAGAGGGUUGCCAAGCCGCGAGGUGGAGCCAAUCCCACAAAGCCGAUCGUAGUCCGGAUUGUUCUCUGCAACUCGAGAGCAUGAAGUCGGAAUCGCUAGUAAUCGCAGGUCAGCAUACUGCGGUGAAUACGUUCCCGGGUCUU
rnacentral:rRNA from 1 species